rnacentral:tRNA from 1 species
GCCGAGGUGGCCUAGCCUGGAAUGUCUCUCGCCCUGAUAGGCGCCGGACUCAUAAUCCGGUUAUCAGGGGUUCGAGUCCCCUCCUCGGCACCA